rnacentral:tRNA from 1 species
GCUUAUUUAGUAUAUAAGUAUAUCUGACUUCCAAUCAGAAGGUCCAUAUAUGGAAUAAGUA